rnacentral:rRNA from 1 species
UGGGGGAAUAUUGGGCAAUGGGCGCAAGCCUGACCCAGCAACGCCGCGUGAAGGAAGAAGGCUUUCGGGUUGUAAACUUCUUUUGUCAGGGACGAGGAGAAGACGGUACCUGACGAAUAAGCCACGGCUAACUACGUGCCAGCAGCCGCGGUAAUACGUAGGUGGCAAGCGUUGUCCGGAUUUACUGGGUGUAAAGGGCGUGUAGCCGGGUCGGCAAGUCAGAUGUGAAAUCCACGGGCUUAACUCGUGAACUGCAUUUGAAACUGUUGAUCUUGAGUGAAGUAGAGGUUGGCGGAAUUCCGAGUGUAGCGGUGAAAUGCGUAGAUAUUCGGAGGAACACCAGUGGCGAAGGCGGCCAACUGGGCUUUAACUGACGCUGAGGCUCGAAAGCAUGGGGAGCAAACAGGAUUAGAUACCCUGGUAGU